GGGUUGUGAGGUUAAGCGACUAAGCGUACACGGUGGAUGCCCUGGCAGUCAGAGGCGAUGAAGGACGUGCUAAUCUGCGAAAAGCGUCGGUAAGGUGAUAUGAACCGUUACAGCCGGCGAUGUCCGAAUGGGGAAACCCAGUGCAAUUCGUUGCACUAUCGUUAACUGAAUACAUAGGUUAACGAGGCGAACCGGGGGAACUGAAACAUCUAAGUACCCCGAGGAAAAGAAAUCAACCGAGAUUCCCCCAGUAGCGGCGAGCGAACGGGGAGCAGCCCAGAGUCUGAAUCAGCUUGUGUGUUAGUGGAACGGUCUGGAAAGUCCGACGGUACAGGGUGAUAGUCCCGUACACCAAAAUGCACAGGUUGUGAACUCGAAGAGUAGGGCGGGACACGUGGUAUCCUGUCUGAAUAUGGGGGGACCAUCCUCCAAGGCUAAAUACUCCUGACUGACCGAUAGUGAACC
rnacentral:rRNA from 1 species